rnacentral:rRNA from 1 species
ACGUGCCCUGUAGUGGGGGAUAACUAGUCGAAAGAUUAGCUAAUACCGCAUACGACCUGAGGGUGAAAGUGGGGGACCGCAAGGCCUCAUGCUAUAGGAGCGGCCGAUGUCUGAUUAGCUAGUUGGUGGGGUAAAGGCCCACCAAGGCGACGAUCAGUAGCUGGUCUGAGAGGACGAUCAGCCACACUGGGACUGAGACACGGCCCAGACUCCUACGGGAGGCAGCAGUGGGGAAUUUUGGACAAUGGGCGAAAGCCUGAUCCAGCAAUGCCGCGUGUGUGAAGAAGGCCUUCGGGUUGUAAAGCACUUUUGUCCGGAAAGAAAUCGCACUUACUAAUAUUAGGUGUGGAUGACGGUACCGGAAGAAUAAGGACCGGCUAACUACGUGCCAGCAGCCGCGGUAAUACGUAGGGUCCAAGCGUUAAUCGGAAUUACUGGGCGUAAAGCGUGCGCAGGCGGUUGUGCAAGACCGAUGUGAAAUCCCCGAGCUCAACUUGGGAAUUGCAUUGGUGACUGCACGGCUAGAGUGUGUCAGAGGGGGGUAGAAUUCCACGUGUAGCAGUGAAAUGCGUAGAGAUGUGGAGGAAUACCGAUGGCGAAGGCAGCCCCCUGGGAUAACAC